GGCGGCGUGCCUAGCACAUGCAAGUCGUACGAGAAAGUUGGCUUCGGCCGAUGAGUACAGUGGCGCACGGGUGAGUAACGCGUGGAUAAUCUGCCCUUAAGUGUGGAAUAACGUACCGAAAGGUGCGCUAAUACCGCAUAAUGCCUGGCAACAUAAGUUGUCCGGCCAAAGAAGGCCUCUGCUUGCAAGCUUUCGCUAAAGGAUGAGUCCGCGUACCAUUAGCUAGUUGGUGGGGUAACGGCCUACUAAGGCGACGAUGGUUAGCUGGUCUGAGAGGAUGAUCAGCCACACUGGAACUGAGACACGGUCCAGACUCCUACGGGAGGCGGCAGUGAGGAAUAUUGCGCAAUGGGGGCAACCCUGACGCAGCAACGCCGCGUGAGUGAGGAAGGUUUUCGGACCGUAAAGCUCUGUCGAGCGGGAAGAAAUGUAUCAUGGCUAAUAUCCAUGAUACUUGACGGUACCGCUAAAGGAAGCACCGGCUAACUCCGUG
rnacentral:rRNA from 1 species